rnacentral:rRNA from 1 species
GACGAACGCUGGCGGCGUGCUUAACACAUGCAAGUCGAACGGAAAGGCCCUGCUUUUGUGGGGUGCUCGAGUGGCGAACGGGUGAGUAACACGUGAGUAACCUGCCCUUGACUUUGGGAUAACUUCAGGAAACUGGGGCUAAUACCGGAUAGGAGCUCCUGCUGCAUGGUGGGGGUUGGAAAGUUUCGGCGGUUGGGGAUGGACUCGCGGCUUAUCAGCUUGUUGGUGGGGUAGUGGCUUACCAAGGCUUUGACGGGUAGCCGGCCUGAGAGGGUGACCGGCCACAUUGGGACUGAGGUACGGCCCAGACUCGUACGGGAGGCAGCAGGGGGGAAUAUUGCACAAUGGCCGGAAGCCUGAUGCAGCAACGCCGCGUGCGGGAUGACGGCCUUCGGGUUAUAAACCGCUUUCGCCUGUGACGAAGCGUGAGUGACGGUAAUGGGUAAAGAAGCCCCGGCUAACUACGUG